GUUUAAGGAUAUAUGUACACUGAUUAGUUUGUUAGGGAUCUACCUCCCACUGAGUUCUGCCUCUUUUCGUGGAGGUGUUGUCCCCACACAAGCCUGCAGGGUGCCAGAGAAAUGACUCUCAUUUGGAUUUAAGUGAAGUGUGUUCCCUUAAGCCUGUGCAGCUGCUAAUCUUUGCUCAGUAGAUGUAAAGCAAUUUUCUGGAAGCUUUUAUCACACACAAAGCUACAAACAACUCUGUUAACUUGAGAUAUCAUAUUAGAGGAGAGCCCCAAGAGAAAAUCCACUUUAGAGUCAAGGACAGCCUCUUAGCAAAUGUGAUUUGGCCCAAGAACAAACAUGGAAUCUGCUUGCUGGUGAUCAGUUACAGAGUUAAACUCUACACCACCGCUCUGGCACCACUAAAGGCCCCUGGCUGCAUCCUCCCCCUGCUGUGACCUCAGGAUAAGGGAAAACAACUCCUCUCCUGCUAUUGUUCUCACACCAUGGGGUGGCUCCUGCUGGAUCCUGGACAAGACUUUGUCACUGCACAGGACAGAGAGCUACAGACACACAGAUGGAAAUGGCAGCGGAUUUAUGUAAGAUGUGAGAAAUAGAUACGGUAUCACUGCUAAGAGGUUUUAGCAGUGAUACUUAGCACUUCCUUCCUUACAGUAUGUGUACCAUGAGUCUAUGUUGUUUGAUAUUUUUAAUUAUAUUUCACAUUUUUGUUAUUGGCUACUCCAAUGAAAACAGGAACUGACUUCAUCCAUCACAAGAAUAGACACAUUGUUUGUACAUUAACACAAAAAAUAUUAGAUCUUUGAACUAAAUUCUUAUUUAAAUAAAUCUCUACAAAUCUCUCCAGUCAUAUAUAUGUAAGCUGUAUACUUGUCCUCCAUUUUAUAUCCAUAUCCAAAUAUAAUAAAAGAGCUGCAUUUUCUGGGACAAUUUAUAGUUUGUUUUCAGUGCUGUGUGACUCACAGCCAUUAUAGCCUUUUCAGGCAAAAUGGUGGUUUGCAGUGAGAGACUACUCAGACUCAUUUCCUCAUGCCAAUCUAAAGUGAUAACGAGUCCAGGCUUAUUGGAGUUGUCCUGCUGAGAGGAUAAAUCCUGUUGGUUUACUCUGGUAAACAUGUGCCACACGACACCAUCCUACACAAACACAGCUCUUCACACAUGGUUAUUCAAUCAGUCUUCACCUGAGCUUUCCAGAUUAAUAGCUGGUGUGUAGAGCCAAGAUGGUGACAACCCUCUGUGCUUCCAGUGGCACUCACACUGCCUUUCUUCCACUAUGCCAAAAAGAGUUGUAUAACUCAGAUGUCGGAAUGUUACAAUGUCUUCCAGAUGAGUGAAAAAAGUAUAUGAGAACAAGGGCUUUUAAAUCAUUUCCAUAUUUAAUAUUAUUAUCUAAUAACGGAGAGAAAUAGGUCUAAAAAGAUAUACACAACCGAAUAUUUGAGGAAAUGACAAACUGGGAUUAAAUUCACAGAUAAAUAUAAGACAACAGAAUAUUUUUAUAUUUACUAAUACAUUAUCUAUGAGCUCAGGAUGAGAACAUUAAUGAAUGAAACAACACUGUGGUUUAUAGAUACAGGUUGGAACAUCCCAAAAGACAUAUUAUUAAUCCCGUCUCUUAUAGCAGCUAUAAACACUCCCUUCAAAAGCCUCUACUUCUUGCUCUAUCUUGAAAUUAAUAAAAGUAAAAAUGUCACUAAAUGAAAGCACAGAAUCCUCAGAGUGAAAAAUUUACUGACUAUUACAGAGUGCUGAAACUGGAGACUCCUUCGGUAAGUGUUAAAUAAAUGCCUCCUUAUAGCAUCGUUUUCCAUUUUUCGUGAAAUAACAGCAUGUAUUUUCUGCCAUGCAGGUCCUUGUGAAUGAACUGUUACUGUAGAAAAAAUACCAUAUUAAAAUGUAAGUAAAUGAAUUAGGAAUGAGAGACAAAAUUAAGCCCCACCUUCUGACCAAACAGAUUUGAGAAUUCAACAGUUUCCUCUGUU